UGUAAAGCAGGUAGCAGAGUGCUUGGCACAUAGCAUCCAGGAAAAACUGAGCGAGUUCUUGUGAAACUGAAGUACACUGAAGGUGUUUGCUAUUUAAAGGUAUCUUCUGGUGGAUCGUCUUGGAAAACAUGGACCCAAAUCUUGCGAGAGCUAUCAGUGAGUCUCCUCUCCUGCUCUGCAUCUCUCAGGACUGUGUCCCAGCUCCAGAAGAAUGAGCCUGCACAGCUUGGACUGUCACCUCUGGCAGGUUCCUGCUCUUUGAUGAAGCCUCGUCAUAAUUACAGGUGUUUGAAAGUUCCUCCAUUGAUCUUCUCUCUCCUGCUGCCUUGUCAAGAAGGUGCCUGCUUCCCCUUUGCCUUGCACCAUGAUUCUAAGUUUCCUGAGGCCUCCCCAGCCAUGUAAAACUAGCCUUAUCUUCAACAGCUGCUAAAAUUGAAGAACAAAAAGAAUCUUUGAAACUUCCCUUCAACUGGUCAUCCUCUUCCCUUUUUCUCUCCUUUAAACACUGUUCCAAUUCAUUAUGAUGGCCCCAAAGCAAAGACAGACAUGGAAGUGAACAUUGGAGUGGAAGGAAUGACGGGGAGCAAAGGUCUGCUUUCUUUCUAUCAUUCUUGUAUCAACUCUAAAUUGAAACCCAAAUCACUGAAAUCUAAAAAAUCACAUGAAAGCAAGUCAAUGACUAAAAGAAAAUGAAAUGAGAGAUCCUAUCAGAGAAAUAUGAAAGGGAAAAUACCACUGAUUAAAUAAGUUAUGGGAAAAAUAAAUCAUUACACCAUUAAAUGUAUACGUCGACAUACUGUAUGUUGUUAUGUGCUUAUUGUCUUUCACCAGUAGAAUGUAAGUCCCAUAAGGGUAAGGACUUUAUAUAUUCUUUUCACAGCAGUGUCUCUAGUGCAUGGAACAGUUCCUAGCACAAAAUAAACAGUUGUUGAAUAAGU
rnacentral:lncRNA from 1 species